GCAAGAAGUUAUUAAUCAGACUUUGAGGGGAGGCAAGAUGUUGGCAUAGCUGUUGACCUAAUAACCUGCUAUGCCAACAUAUUGUCAUCUUUCUCGUCUAUUUGCAGCAACAGCCAACU
rnacentral:precursor_RNA from 15 species